AGACACCCUUGUUCCUCCCGUCAGAACCACAGGCCUCAUACUCCCUCUGCCAGAGGCCCUUCCCCAAAACAGAGGAGCGAGUGGAGCAGACAGCUGCCGGCUGGGUGUGUUCCAAGCCUCGGCGGAUGCUUCAGAAUAGAAGCGCCCACGCCGCUUUGCAAAGUAAAGGCAUCAUCACAUUUUAUGAAUGACAGAUGGCUUUUACCACACCUUUGCAUGAUCGCUUAUGGUAAUAGGACUGCGGUGCCCUGAGACGUGGGGAUCUGCGUGAGUGCCCCCGGCAAAGUCUGCUCUUCCGGCCUCGAAUCUGGAUCCCAGGAGCCCGUCCAUAUCCCUCAUCCAGCAAACUCCAUGGCCAUGCAGGGCUCCUCAGGACACUGCAGUUGUGCCCUGUUUAAAACAAUAACUGUUUCUCAAGUUUCUUGGAGUGAAGCCACCAUGACCUUUGCAACAGACGAAGCCUACACUUUUUCCAAGUGUGACUCAAAGGACAAAAGGUUCAUGCACAAGGCAGUUCUAAAAGUGGAUGGGUAAUUGCUGGUUCUGCUUCCUGUAAGGAUUUUGUAAGAUCACACCAAACCCACUCCCUUACAGAAAACAGCUUCAAAAUCUGUACACAAUGCAAACAGGCUGCUUGUGGGCGUUGGAGAGUGAACAGCAAGACGGACCUGGGGUGUACACGGGGGAUAAAGGAGUUGCAGGAAGCACGUUCUCUUUGACCGUGGCUGUUAGCCUGAGCACUAUGUAGUUAGGGCAUGAGGAGCUGGGGGUCCUCAGGGAAGACCACAGUCUUCAUGGCCUGGAACAGGAGCAGGACGAAAUUGGGGAAGCUGUGGCCAGUGGAGGGGGGGAGCGUCCAGAAGGGGAAACUUGGCGGACUCUACUCAUGUUUCCGACUGGCCCUGAACUGCACACACUCAAAGCAGAUAAAAGAAGCCCAGCUAAAGGCUGGUACAAAAUGACCUUCUUUAUAAUGCUGGUUGUGUUCAUUGUUCAAUAUUAAUAUAGCUGUUCCCGCUUUUUUUUUUUU
ensembl:lncRNA novel transcript